CAAGAAGUAGUUUAACAAGAAUAUCAGCUUUGGGUGUUGAUGGUAGGGAGAUAUUCCUUCUUCUUGA
rnacentral:tRNA from 2 species